GACGAACGCUGGCGGCGUGCUUAACACAUGCAAGUCGAACGGAAAGGCCCUGCUUUUGUGGGGUGCUCGAGUGGCGAACGGGUGAGUAACACGUGAGUAACCUGCCCUUGACUUUGGGAUAACUUCAGGAAACUGGGGCUAAUACCGGAUAGGAGCUCCGGCUGCAUGGUGGGGGUUGGAAAGUUUCGGCGGUUGGGGAUGGACUCGCGGCUUAGCAGCUUGUUGGUGGGGUAGUGGCUUACCAAGGCUUUGACGGGUAGCCGGCCUGAGAGGGUGACCGGCCACAUUGGGACUGGGAUAGCGCCAAGACUCCAACGGGAGGCAGCAGUGGGGAAUAUUGCACAAUGGGCGGAAGCCUGAUGCAACAACGCCGCGUGCGGGAUGACGGCCUUCGGGUUAUAAACCGCGUUCGCCUGUGACGAAGCGUGAGUGACGGUAAUGGGUAAAGAAGCACCGGCUAACUACGUG
rnacentral:rRNA from 1 species